rnacentral:rRNA from 1 species
GACGAACGCUGGCGGCGUGCUUAACACAUGCAAGUCGAACGGAAAGGCCCUGCUUUUGUGGGGUGCUCGAGUGGCGAACGGGUGAGUAACACGUGAGUAACCUGCCCUUGACUUUGGGAUAACUUCAGGAAACUGGGGCUAAUACCGGAUAGGAGCUCCUGCUGCAUGGUGGGGGUUGGAAAGUUUCGGCGGUUGGGGAUGGACUCGCGGCUUAUCAGCUUGUUGGUGGGGUAGUGGCUUACCAAGGCUUUGACGGGUAGCCGGCCUGAGAGGGUGACCGGCCACAUUGGGACUGAGAUACGGCCCAGACUCGUACGGGAGGCAGGAGUGGGGAAUAUUGCACAAUGGCGGAAGCCUGAUGCAGCAACGCCGCGUGCGGGAUGACGGCCUUCGGGUUGUAAACCGCUUUCGCCUGUGACGAAGCGUGAGUGACGGUAAUGGGUAAAGAAGCACCGGCUAACUACGUG